ensembl:lncRNA eukaryotic translation initiation factor 4 gamma 3-like
GUGGGUCGAGGGAUUAUUCCGCCCUCAUCUGUGGCCCACUCACUACCCUAUUUCCACCAAAUCAUCGUGGUUACUGGGCAGGGUGAAGUGGAAAUUGGUGACUUGGGAGCAGCAGUCAGCUGGAGCGACAUAGACAGAAGAAGCGAGCUCUUCCAGAGGACCAGGAGGAGGAGGAGAGGCAGAUUGGGACUUGAGAACCACUCACCAGAACAACAUGGGGUGGCAUUUGGCCUGCUGACUAAAACGAACAGGAUGUUUGUUCUUUUAACAGUUUCAACAAGAGGUUCCAUCAGGGAUGCAUCAACUCUCCAGCCGGGGACAGAGAAUAGCUCAAAGAAGUGUUCUCAUUGUUUUUUUAUUUCAUUGUAUUGAAAUGCCCUUUUUUAUACUUUCUUUAUAUUUUUGCUGUAUGUUCAAUUGAUCUUAUUAAAACUGUACAUAGUUCUGUUUUGAAUUACAUUAUUUUAAUUAUAUUGCUGUUGCUUAAUUAAUUGUUGUAUAAUAAAAUUUAAUUAUAAUUUCCCCA